AGUGAACGCUGGCGGUAGGCCUAACACAUGCAAGUCGAACGGCCGCACAGUAAGAGCUUGCUCUUACGGGUGGCGAGUGGCGGACGGGUGAGGAAUACAUCGGAAUCUACUUUUUCGUGGGGGAUAACGUAGGGAAACUUACGCUAAUACCGCAUACGACCUACGGGUGAAAGCAGGGGAUCUUCGGACCUUGCGCGAUUGAAUGAGCCGAUGUCGGAUUAGCUAGUUGGCGGGGUAAAGGCCCACCAAGGCGACGAUCCGUAGCUGGUCUGAGAGGAUGAUCAGCCACACUGGAACUGAGACACGGUCCAGACUCCUACGGGAGGCAGCAGUGGGGAAUAUUGGACAAUGGGCGCAAGCCUGAUCCAGCCAUACCGCGUGGGUGAAGAAGGCCUUCGGAUUGUAAAGCCCUUUUGUUGGGAAAGAAAAGCAGCAGGUUAAUACCCCGCUGUUCUGACGGUACCCAAAGAAUAAGCACCGGCUAACUUCGUG
rnacentral:rRNA from 1 species